AUAGCUCAGUCGGUAGAGCGACGGACUGUUAAUCCGCAGGUCCCUGGUUCGAGCCCAGGU
rnacentral:tRNA from 6 species